CCUACGGGAGGCAGCAGUGGGGAAUAUUGCACAAUGGGGGAAACCCUGAUGCAGCGACGCCGCGUGAGUGAAGAAGUAUUUAGGUAUGUAAAGCUCUAUCAGCAGGGAAGAAAAUGACGGUACCUGACUAAGAAGCCCCGGCUAACUACGUGCCAGCAGCCGCGGUAAUACGUAGGGGGCAAGCGUUAUCCGGAUUUACUGGGUGUAAAGGGAGCGUAGACGGCCAGACAAGUCAGAAGUGAAAGCCCAGGGCUCAACCCUGGGACUGCUUUUGAAACUGCCGGGCUGGAGUGCAGGAGAGGUAAGCGGAAUGCCUAGUGUAGCGGUGAAAUGCAUAGAUAUCACGCAGAACCCCGAUUGCGAAGGCAGCAUACCGGUGCACAACUGACGCUCAGGCACGAAAGCGUGGGUAUCGAACAGGAUUAGAUACCCUUGUAGUC
rnacentral:rRNA from 1 species